rnacentral:lncRNA from 1 species
AGAGAGACUUAGAAGUCCCUGUCUGGGAAGAGAAUAGGAGCAAGGAGAGACCACAUAUAGAGAGCUGCAAUUACCCAGGCUGUUAGAAUCCGUAUCCACACAGAUGGCCACCCUACAUCUACCAACUUCCCGCUCUCCCCAACUGAGGUAGACCAUCCCGUCAAAAGCAUUGCUGAGUACAUACUUGCCAGAGAAAAAAUGAUGUGGAAGAAGGCGUACGAGUACGUCACUGCCUUAUUCUUCUUCUCCUCAUCAGCCUUGUCCAAUGGAAGUAAUGGCUUUCCACCACCUUUACGCAUUCAAACUCAAUGUUAAACUCUACUCUUAACAUAUCUCAUCUUUCCAUCUUUUCUUUUCUUAUUUUACCCUCGGAAUAGAUUCAAAAAAUGGGAUACAAACAAAAGGGAUGCAAAACCAUGAAAUUUACAGACAACUCUGGACCCUAAUUUUUAGGAUGGGAAAACCGUAUAAACAUUAACAAUUUUUCUAAUGGUAUAUAAUGUAUAAUGAAUGAAUAUUUUGUCAAGAAUACCUGCACGAGGUGAACUUGGUGGGGAUAGUAGAGUUGUAGAAGACCCAGCUCGAACAGCAGAAUAGACAACAGAAAGGAUAGUGGUAAGCAGGCCAACAGUCACAGUGCCAGUAGAAAUUGCUUUAGAAUGCUUGUGGAGACCAUUGCAUUCAUAAUCU